rnacentral:rRNA from 1 species
UGGGGAGUAUUGGACAAUGGGGGCAACCCUGAUCCAGCAAUGCCGCGUGAGUGAUGAAGGCCUUAGGGUUGUAAAGCUCUUUCGGCGGGGAAGAUGAUGACGGUACCCGCAGAAGAAGCCCCGGCUAACUUCGUGCCAGCAGCCGCGGUAAUACGAAGGGGGCUAGCGUUGUUCGGAAUUACUGGGCGUAAAGGGCGCGUAGGCGGUCUUGUAAGUCAGGCGUGAAAGGCCCGGGCUCAACCUGGGGACUGCGCUUGAUACUGCGAGGCUUGAAUCCGGGAGAGGAUGGCGGAAUUCCCAGUGUAGAGGUGAAAUUCGUAGAUAUUGGGAAGAACACCGGUGGCGAAGGCGGCCAUCUGGACCGGUAUUGACGCCGAGGCGCGAAAGCGUGGGGAGCAAA